CUGUAUGGAAGACUAGUGAUUUUGUUGUUCU
ensembl:miRNA